GGCCAGGGCAGGAUUAACGAAGGGAAAGUCUUGCUCUCAGUAUUUUAGCUGUAACCUUGGUAAAGAAAGCCAAAAGGGGCUUUCACACAGCACCUUACAAGCCUGUGUUAUCCUUGGGGCUUCUGCAGCCAAUGAAAGUUUGUCACGAUGAUGUAAUGCUCCUGAGUUGUGCUUCAGCCCGAGUAUGUGGUCACCGGGUCUCAUGCCUGAGAGCUAGGGGCCUUGGUCUGCAUCUGUGCCUUUAUCACAGAGCUGCAGUGCAUCCAUCUGUGGUUCAUUAUAUUUGGACUCCCAAUAUCCACAGUGCCCAGCAGGAAACAAAACAGGGAUGAGCCUGGAGCUGCUCAUAGCUGCUUUGCAUGCCUCUCCAUCGACUCUGGAGUUCCUGGUGGAAGCACCUCUGUCUUACUCAGUUUUGCACUCUCAAUAUCUAUUCUGGCACCUAGCUCAUGAAUAGGUACAUGUUGGAUCAUACAAGGGAGAAUUCCGUGUUCACUGAGGAACAAAUAUAGAGAGUUACAUGAUUACGAGGGAAGAGAAACCACAUACUAUUGGAUAGAACA
rnacentral:lncRNA from 1 species